AUUAUUGUAGCUUAAAUUAAAGCUUGACGUUGAAAAUGUCAGAUUAGGGGUUUAAACCCUCUCUUUAAUA
rnacentral:tRNA from 1 species